CGUGAAACUUAUUUUAAUCUUUACAUGAAAAUUCAAGAAACUCAGGGACCGCCAAUAGGCGCAACUGAAAGUUCAGUAUUUCAGACACUGAUUCGGAUAAGAAUUCAUCACCUUAUUUCCUGUUAUGGAAUUAAAGUUUAAUUAUCAAUAAUACGGUAUUUUGCGUAAUUUAGAAAACUUCAAGAAUUAAUUACAGGUUACUAAUGGAAUCAGAACCGGUUAUUUAUUAUUGUUGUCCUGUUUAACCGAUUGUUUGAUUUACAGCUUUAAAUGCAUGAUAAUAUAUUAAAA
rnacentral:lncRNA from 1 species